rnacentral:rRNA from 1 species
GCCGUACCAUGCUGAAUAUACCGGUUCUCGUUAGAUCACCGAAGUUAAGCAUCAUUGGGCGCGGUCAGUACUUGAAUGGGUGACCACCUGGGAACACUGCGUGCCGUU